UAUCUAUCAGCUUUGAACAUUUGUUUUAUAAAUGUAGGAUAAAGGGAAUAUCUUUAUUUGAUUAUUGCUGUGCACAGAAACUGAUCCGCAUGUUGAAAUUCUGGUGGCAAAUGCAGUGGCCAUAUUUCUUAAUCAAGUUUCAGUUUAACUCCCAUAGGCUAUGAGCUCCCAGUUUCCUCUGUACUGGUGCACAGAGUGAGAGAGAGAGAGAGAGAGAGAGAGAGAGAGAGAGCAGGGGAGGAACACUAAAUGAUGAAUGGAGAGAAGAUGACUGAUCGGAUGACAUGAGGCUUUAGGGCUGCUCUGCAAAGACGAGAGAGCAAGAGAAGCAGAGAGCGGAAGAAGUGACAGCUUCAGAGGAGAGAUCAGAUGCCGGGGCGUCUUCACAUCCAGACGGGCAGCAAUGCAAUAUCUUACCCAUACAACCUCUCUGUCACCGUCCGCCCCAAAUAGCACAUAAAACCACUCAGCUGAGGAGAAAUAAACUAACAACGGAUGCAGCAAAAACAAGGUGUCAAGGGAAAUGGUUUCAUCAAGUCUAGCUCAUAAAAAGGGAAUUUAUGGACGCAAGGGCUUUUUUUGCACUGCAAGCGGUCUCGCCCUGAUCAUAUGGACCCCCUGUACUGACCAGUCAGCCUGUUUGUGAUAUCACUGGGGUUGUAAUCAAGGCCAGGGUCAUAACUCACAGGGCAGCACAAUGAGAAAAUAAAGCUGAAUCCAGUAUUAUAUAUAUAUAUAUAUAUAUAUAUAUAUAUAUAUAUAUAUAUAUAUAUAUAUAGAGAGAGAGAGAGAGAGAGAGAGAGAGAGAGAGAGAGAGAGAGAGAGAGAGAGAGAGAAUCAUAUAGUUUAAUGGCAAAUCAUUUUCACACAGUGAGGUUUGAGUCUUAUAAAAAAAAAAUGUCCUGACAGACCUGUAACUCUUGGUUCUGGCUACUUUUCUUGUUUCGGUACUCUUUGGUUCUGUCUAGAUAACUAUUUUUAGUUUUUAGUUCUUUAAAAGUUUCAUUUCAUUCAUAAUAAAACAUUUAUCUUUUAAAAAUAUCAUAUAAAUGCUUUGUUCUGGCUAAAAUUCUGCCGGUCUGUUUUUUUUUUUUUUUAAGCCAAAGCAACAAACCACAAUAAUGUAAUUGUAGCUCAGGUUUAUUCACUUGACACACUAAUCAAAUUUAAAUUGUUGUGCACAUGCUCUGAAAACUUUAACCUGGAAAGGUGGAAAAGUGUCUAUCACUUUCUCAAAUAUCGUGGCCACAAAUUAAGAAUUUGUUCACAUUUAUAUUUUGUAAUUAAUAGUUAAUUUUUUCUACAUCGCAUCAGGGACUCCUUAUAACACUAUGUACAGAAAGGCAACGUCUGUAGCUAAACUUCAUAAAAACCUGCUGUUGAUCGAUUAGAACUGUGAAAGUAAAUACGGUAUAAUGUUUAGAUCAGUGUACAGCAUACACUGAAAAAAAUAAUUAAUUGAAUUUACUAAAUUUGUUUAAGGUAAGUGGUUGCAAUCGAUUUAUUUUAUCUACAUUUAAAUAAACAAAUUUAGUUGCAUUGUGUCAUACAAUGUUCCACACUAUACUGUGGAAAACGAAAUGUGCAUACUGUGCUAGGUACACAACAGUACAAGCACUAUGGUAGGA
ensembl:lncRNA